AGUGGCGAACGGUCGCGUAACACGUAAGCAACCUGCCCUGAAGUGGGGGACAACAUCCCGAAAGGGGUGCUAAUACCGCAUGUGGUCACGAGUCGGCAUCGACUUGUGUCUAUAGAUUUAUCGCUUCAGGACGGGCUUGCGGCCUAUCAGGUAGUUGGUGGGGUAAUGGCCUACCAAGCCGACGACGGAUAGCUGGUCUGAGAGGACGAUCAGCCGGAUUGGGACUGAGAUACGGCCCAGACUCCUACGGGGGGCAGCAAUUAGGAAUCUUGCGCAAUGGGGGAAACCCUGACGCAGCGACGUCGCGUGAAGGAUGAAGGCCCUCGGGUCGUAAACUUCUUUUGAGUGGGAAGAAAUUUGACGGUACCACUCGAAUAAGCCCCGGCUAACUACGUGCCAGCAGCCGCGGUAAUACGUAGGGGGCGAGCGUUGUCCGAAGUUACUGGGCGUAAAGCGCGCGUAGGCGGUUAUUUAAGUCUGGGGUGAAAGGUUCAGCGCUCAACGUGAACAGUGCCUUGGAUACUGGAUGACUUGAGUCUGGGAGGGGGAAGGGGAAUUCCUGGUGUAGCGGUGAAAUGCGUAGAUAUCAGGAGGAACACCGGUGGCGAAGGCGCCUUCCUGGCCUAAGACUGACGCUGAGGUGCGAAAGCGUGGGGAGCAAACGGGAUUAGAUACCCCGGUAGUCCACGCCGUAAACGAU
rnacentral:rRNA from 1 species